GAAGGAAAUGGCAAUCCACUCCAGCAUCCUUGCCUGGAGAAUCCCAUGGACAGAGGAGCCUGGCGGGCUACAGUCCAUGGGGCUGCAGAGUGUCAGACACAACUGAGCCAUUGAGGGAACACACGCACAGAGGGAACCUAGAGAAGAAUAUCAGCUCCAGGCCUGUCUUUGGGAGAUCAAAAGAAGGCAGGCACAACGCUUAAAGGAAUUCUGCCACAAGAGGGAGCAAGAAGACUGGAGCAGGUGUAUCCAUAGCCAGUGUGGAAAAGCCUUAGAAUCCCUACCAAGGCUGAUGGAUGGUAUUUCUCUCUAAACCAGACAGAGAGCAUCUAUUAACAUGGGACUGGUGAGGGAUGAAAGCCAUGUAAAUAGUCUUACUUCUGGAUCAUAUGUGUGUACAUUUGCACUAGGAAGGGCAGUUCCGGUUCCGGAAAGCCAGUGACAUUAUCCUACAGGGAGCACAGAAGCUCCAAGGACACAGCUGAGUUAAGCCUCCCCCCGUGUCCUUCCCUCUGUCGUCCUAGGAGAGCAGAGAAUGACCCUUGGACGGCAGCUUCUGCCUGAUGGCCAAGCUCAGAGCAUAGAUGAAGAUGAGAAAGCAAUUAAUGCAAUUUGUGAAGAUAACAGACCCUCAGGACUAACCCCUGAAACAGUAACACUACUGUGGUGUAUGAAUACAAAAAGUUGCUAAGACGUAUCCAACUCUUUUGCGACCCCAUGAACUGGAGCCUGCCAAGUUCCUU